UAGCUAGCUAACAGCCAUGGAGGACGGUGAAAGGAUAGCAGGCCCAGCUGUGGGAGAGCAUGCUAUUCUGGAUAGAGCAGAGAGAGCUGUGAAAGCCUGUUUGCAGAUGAAGAGUUGUCCCAAUGAAGAGCAGCAGUUCUCAGUCCUGGUCCUGGGGACUCAAAAGGCAUAAAGUACUCUGUAGCCAAGUAGUGUGGACACCAGCUUAUAUCAACUGUGUUGGUGAACCUCUCCCGCAUCUGAACUGGCUGACACAGAGGGCACAGCAUGAUCAUAGGUAUGUUUUAAUGUGAGAGAGGAAGCCAGUCCCGUCAUCGCCACCUCACCCACUCUUAAGAUGACCUUCGGGCCGACUGUGUCACGCCCUGGUCUAAGUAUUUUGUGUUUUCUUCAUGUAUUGGGUCAGGCCAGGGUGUGGCAUAGAGUUUUUGUAUUGUGGUGUGUUUUGUUUUGGGAUUUUGGAAUGUGUGUAUAGUGGGAUUGUAGCUUAGUGGGGUGUUCUAGGAGAGUCUAUGGCUGUCUGAAGUGGUUCUCAAUCAGAGGCAGGUGUUUACCGUUGUCUCUGAUUGGGAACCAUAUUUAGGCAGCCAUAUUCUUUGGUUGUAUUGUGGGUGAUUGUCCUGUGUGUCUUGAUGUCCUUGGUUGAGGUUAGUAGACACUUGUAUAGGCUGUUUUCGGUUUUCGUUUCGUUUAUUGUUUUGUAGUGUUAGUGUUUUGUCGUGUGUUACGUUUGUUUAUUAAAGAUGAAUCGCAAUAGACACGCUGCAGUUUGGUCCGAUUCAAUUAAUGUCUUAGUCCCCUCUCCUCGCGUCCCUGGAUAGUCCACCCUCGCCGCCGACCAUGGCCUAGUAGUCCUCACCCAGAAACCCACUGGAUUGAGGAGCAGAUCGGGACUGAGGCAGCUCGGGACUGAGGGGAAGCUCGGGAGUGAGAGGAAGCUCGGGAGUGAGAGGAAGCUCGGGAGUGAGAGGAAGCUCGGGAGUGAGAGGAAGCUCGGGAGUGAGAGGAAGCUCAGGCAGGUUGAUGGAUCUACCAGAUCCUGGCUGGCUGGUGGUUCCGCCAGAUCCUGGCUGACUGGCGGAUCCUGGCUGACUGGCGGAUCCUGGCUGACUGGCGGAUCCUGGCUGACUAGCGGAUCUGGCAGAUCCUGGCUGACUGGCAGAUCCUGGCUGACUGGCGGAUCUAACUGAUCCUGGCAGACUGGACAUCAAGACACACAGGACAAUCACCCACAAUACAACCAAAGAAUAUGGCUGCCUAAAUAUGGUUCCCAAUCAGAGACAACGGUAAACACCUGCCUCUGAUUGAGAACCACUUCAGACAGCCAUAGACUCUCCUAGAACACCCCACUAAGCUACAAUCCCACUAUACACACAUUCCAAAAUCCCAAGACAAAACACACCACAAUACAAAAACUCUAUGCCACACCCUGGCCUGACCCAAUACAUGAAGAAAACACAAAAUACUUAGACCAGGGCGUGACAGACUGGGGGCCCAAGGCUGGUUAGGAGACACUAUGUAAUUGUGAUGAACUGAGAGAAUAUUAGUGUAGCACUGUAAUUCAUUAAUUAUCUGCGGUCUUCCCUGCUCCUCUGUUCUUAUCUCUUUUUGCCUUUGUCUUCUACACCUCUCUCCCCACCUCUUUCUUCCUCUUUUUUUAUAAUGCACAUGUGCAUUGAAGUACAGAUUGAACUUGUAUUUAUAAUAUUUAUAAUGCAAGUAUUAUGCAUUUAUAACACCUGGAUAAUGAACUUUCAAUAAAGUGUUUCACAUUC